GAAAUGCGAUAAGUAGUGUGAAUUGCAGAAUUCAGUGAAUCAUCGAAUCUUUGAACGCACAUUGCGCCCUUUGGUAUUCCUUAGGGCAUGCCUGUUCGAGCGUCAUUUGUAACCUCAAGCUCAGCUUGGUGUUGGGUGUCUGUCCCCGCCUCGCGCGGGGACUCGCCUCAAAAACAUUGGCGGCCGGUACGUUGGCUUCGAGCGCAGCAGAAACGCGAACUCGAGGCCCGACGGAUCGGCGACCAGAAGUCACUUCUUCCACAGCUUGACCUCGGAUCAGGUAGGGAUACCCGCUGAACUUAAGC
rnacentral:misc_RNA from 1 species